rnacentral:lncRNA from 10 species
GUACCUCUCAGUCUUUUCAACCUCUGCUGUCCUCACUGGCAGCUGGUUCCAGCACCUCCUCAUUGAGAAGAAUCAGUACUCCCUAAUGAACAUACACAUGUCCAGGCAAGGCGGGGCCAAACAGACCACAGGAUGAAGCCCACAAAGAGAAGAGGACAAAUCCAGAAGCCACAGAGAAGUGGAACCAGAAGCCCAGUGUGCCUUGGGUGAAGCACGGCUACUUAAG